rnacentral:lncRNA from 1 species
AUAGGGAGAUUGUGGCACUGCAGAGGUGUGGAAUGUGUGUUUAAGGAAUGUGUAAUUGCCAAAUGAGACAGGACACAUCAAGUUUCUGAACUAUACAUGCCAAUGUUUACUGUUAAUUACCCAUGAUGUGACCACCAUUCAGAUGUUCCGAGAACUGCAUGCGGCACAUGACAUCUUCCACACCAAUAUGUUAUACACUGCCAUGGAAGAUAUGCACCACAUGCAGUUCUUGGAACAUCUGAAUGGUGCUCAUAUUGAACUUCGUGUAAUUAACAGUAAAUGUUGGCAUGUAUUGUUCAGAAACUUGAUGUAUGCUGUCUCAUUUGGUGAUUACACAUUCCUUAAUAACACAUUCUACA